UCUCCGUUGGUGAGCCAGCGGAGGGAUCAUUACCGAGUUUACAACUCCCAAACCCCUGUGAACUUAUACCUUUACGGUUGCUUCGGCGGGUCAUUGCCCCGGGGAAACAGGCGGCCGUCGGGUCCCUGCCCACCCGGAAACAGGCGCCCGCCGGGGGACUCAAACUCUUCUGUAUUUUUUUGUUUACUGUAUACUGUCUGAGUAAAAAUUCAUAAUGAAUCAAAACUUUCAACAACGGAUCUCUUGGUUCUG
rnacentral:misc_RNA from 1 species